rnacentral:tRNA from 1 species
GGUUCUAUAGUGUAGCGGUUAGCACGUCUGCUUUACACAUAGAAGGUCCUGGGUUUGUGCCCCAGUGGAGCCA